rnacentral:rRNA from 1 species
UAUACAUCGGAACGUGUCCCGUAGUGGGAGAUAACGCAGCGAAAGCUGUGCUAAUACCGCAUAUGCCCCGAGGGGGAAAGCAGGGGAUCGCAAGACCUUGCGCUAUGGGAGCGGCCGAUGUCGGAUUAGCUAGUUGGUGGGUAAAGGCCUACCAAGGCGACGAUCCGUAGCUGUUCUGAGAGGAUGAUCAGCCACACUGGAACUGAGACACGGUCCAGAUUCCUACGGGAGGCAGCAGUGGGGAAUUUUGGACAAUGGGCGAAAGCCUGAUCCAGCCAUUCCGCGUGAGUGAAGAAGGCCUUCGGGUUGUAAAGCUCUUUCGGCAGGGAAGAAACGGUCACGGAUAAUACCUGUGACUAAUGACGGUACCUGAAGAAGAAGCACCGGCUAACUACGUGCCAGCAGCCGCGGUAAUACGUAGGGUGCGAGCGUUAAUCGGAAUUACUGGGCGUAAAGCGUGCGCAGGCGGUUUUGUAAGUCAGAUGUGAAAUCCCCGGGCUUAACCUGGGAACUGCGUUUGAAACUACAAGGCUAGAGUUUGGCAGAGGGGGGUAGAAUUUCCACGUGUAGCAGUGAAAUGCGUAGAUAUGUGGAGGAAUACCGAUGGCGAAGGCAGCCCCCUGGUCAAAA